rnacentral:rRNA from 1 species
AGCAGCCGCGGUAAUUCCAGCUCCAAUAGUGUAUAUUAAAGUUGCUGCAGUUAAAAAGCUCGUAGUUGAAUUUCGGGACUAAUAUGUUGGUCGUGCCUCGGUACGUACUGAUAUUUUUGGUUUCUCCCUUCUGACGAACCUUGAUGUCAUUAAUUUGGUGUCUUGGGAAAUCAGGACUGUUACUUUGAAAAAAUUAGAGUGUUUAAAGCAGGCUCACGCUUGAAUACAUUAGCAUGGAAUAAUGAAAUAGGACGUUUGAUUCUAUUUUGUUGGUUUCUAGGAUCGACGUAAUGAUUAAUAGGGACAGUUGGGGGCAUUAGUAUUCAAUUGUCAGAGGUGAAAUUCUUGGAUUUAUUGAAGACUAACUACUGCGAAAGCAUUUGCCAAGGAUGUUUUCAUUAAUCAAGAACGAAAGUUAGGGGAUCGAAGACGAUCAGAUACCGUCGUAGUCUUAACCAUAAACUAUGCCGACUAGGGAUCGGAUGAUGUUAAUUUUUUAAUGACUCAUUCGGCGCCUUAC